AUGGCUCAGAACGAACGCUGGCGGCGUGCUUAACACAUGCAAGUCGAACGCGAAAGGGACUUCGGUCCUGAGUAAAGUGGCGCACGGGUGAGUAACGCGUAGAUAACCUGUCUUUAUGUCUGGAAUAAUACGCCGAAAGGGGUACUAAUACCGGAUAUUUUUUGCAUUGCAUAAGCAGUGUAAGCAAAGGUGGCCUCUGACAUAAGCUACUGCAUAAAGAGGGGUCUGCGUACCAUUAGCUAGUAGGUGGGGUAAAGGCCUACCUAGGCUACGAUGGUUAGCGGGUCUGAGAGGAUGAUCCGCCACACUGGCACUGGAACACGGGCCAGACUCCUACGGGAGGCAGCAGUGAGGAAUAUUGCGCAAUGGGGCAACCCUGACGCAGCGACGCCGCGUGAGUGAGGAAGGCCUUCGGGUCGUAAAGCUCUGUCAAAGGGAAAGAAGUGCAUGGUGAUUAAUACCUGCCAUGUUUGACGGUACCCUUAAAGGAAGCACCGGCUAACUCCGUGCCAGCCGCCGC
rnacentral:rRNA from 1 species